rnacentral:rRNA from 1 species
ACCAAGGGUUCCUGUCCAACGUUAAUCGGGGCAGGGUAAGUCGACCCCUAAGGCGAGGCCGAAAGGCGUAGUCGAUGGGAAACGGGUUAAUAUUCCCGUACUUCUUACAAUUGCGAUGGGGGGACGGAGAAGGCUAGGUGGGCCUGGCGACCCAACAGGUCCAAGUUCACGCAUCCGAAUUCUCAAUCCAUUUAGGCCGAGAAAAUAAGGCUGAGACACGACGUCGAGCCACUACGGUGGUGAAGUCAUUGAUGCCAUGCUUCCAGGAAAAGCCUCUAAGCUUCAGAUUGUAAGGAAUCGUACCCCAAACCGACACAGGUGGUCGGGUAGAGAAUACCAAGGCGCUUGAGAGAACUCGGGUGAAGGAACUAGGCAAAAUGGUACCGUAACUUCGGGAGAAGGUACGCUCUUGAUGGUGAAGUCCCUUGCGGAUGGAGCUGACGAGAGUCGCAGAUACCAGGUGGCUGCAACUGUUUAUUAAAAACACAGCACUGUGCAAAAUCGUAAGAUGACGUAUACGGUGUGACGCCUGCCCGGUGCCGGAAGGUUAAUUGAUGGGGUUAGACUUCGGUCGAAGCUCUUGAUCGAAGCCCCGGUAAACGGCGGCCGUAACUAUAACGGUCCUAAGGUAGCGAAAUUCCUUGUCGGGUAAGUUCCGACCUGCACGAAUGGCGUAAUGAUGGCCACGCUGUCUCCACCCGAGACUCAGUGAAAUUGAAAUCGCUGUGAAGAUGCAGUGUACCCGCGGCUAGACGGAAAGACCCCGUGAACCUUUACUACAGCUUGGCACUGAACAUUGACCCUACAUGUGUAGGAUAGGUGGGAGGCUUUGAAGCACGUACGCCAGUAUGUGUGGAGCCGUCCUUGAAAUACCACCCUUGUAGUGUUGAUGUUCUAACGUCGACCCCUUAUCGGGGUUGCGGACAGUGCCUGGUGGGUAGUUUGACUGGGGCGGUCUCCUCCCAAAGAGUAACGGAGGAGCACGAAGGUGGGCUAAUCACGGUUGGACAUCGUGAGGUUAGUGCAAUGGCAUAAGCCCGCUUGACUGCGAGAAUGACAAUUCGAGCAGGUGCGAAAGCAGGUCAUAGUGAUCCGGUGGUUCUGAAUGGAAGGGCCAUCGCUCAACGGAUAAAAGGUACUCCGGGGAUAACAGGCUGAUACCGCCCAAGAGUUCAUAUCGACGGCGGUGUUUGGCACCUCGAUGUCGGCUCAUCACAUCCUGGGGCUGAAGUCGGUCCCAAGGGUAUGGCUGUUCGCCAUUUAAAGUGGUACGCGAGCUGGGUUUAGAACGUCGUGAGACAGUUCGGUCCCUAUCUGCCGUGGGCGUUGGAAGAUUGAAGGGGGCUGCUCCUAGUACGAGAGGACCGGAGUGGACGAACCUCUGGUGUUCGGGUUGUGUCGCCAGACGCAUUGCCCGGUAGCUAAGUUCGGAAUCGAUAACCGCUGAAAGCAUCUAAGCGGGAAGCGAGCCCUGAGAUGAGUCUUCCCUGAUACUUUAAGUAUCCUAAAGGGUUGUCGGAGACUACGACGUUGAUAGGUCAGGUGUGUAAGUGCUGUGAGGCAUUGAGCUAACUGAUACUAAUUGCCCGUGAGGCUUAACCAUACAACACCCAAGGGGUUU